AGAGUAGGCGAAGAUGAUGCCAGAUCUCUUUUUUGUUGAAGCUCCUCAUCGCCAAUAAUUUCACCCAAAUUCAGCCUUUUGUACCGUUGCAUAUCUUUGUCUAUAUGCCCGUUGGAAUCUCCAUCUAUAAUUAUCUUCUCUCUUCCAGAUCUAUGGAAUGCAUUACAAGUUCACAACUUCGUCAGAACUAGUUCUGUCAGAG